AAAUGUGGACAGAUUUGUUUGCUUGCAACCACGUGAAAAAAUGCUAAAAUCAUA
rnacentral:ncRNA from 1 species